UGUUGGCCAGGCUGGUCUCGAACUCCUGAACUUAUGAUCCACCCACCUUGGCCUCCCAAAGUGCUGGGAUUAUAGGCAUGAGCCACCAUGCCCGACCUGCCUUUCCAUGUUUUGCUGGCAGUUCAGAGGCCUUCUUUCUAACUCCAGGCUGACAGGGUUUGGCGCCCAGAAGGAGAGUCGUCUGGGCCAGGACUCCAGAAGCACCAGCUGGGGUUGUGGGGACUUGGUGGAAGAGACAGUGCACACUGGAGGGGAUGUUCAGAUGGCGCGAACACAGGCAUCACACAUGCUCGUUCACACAUGUGCACCCAGACACACACGCCCACCCAGACUCUCCUGCACGCGGGGGACAUGCACACACGACACCCCUCUUCACCUGCAUGCCUGACCUGGGAAAGAAGCCCACCUGGUGGGAGGCACCCCUCUCCCACUCUCCAUCUGCCCUGGCCCAAGUGCUGGCCCUGAGCCCGCGUACAGGGAGACUCAACACAGGCCCUUUGUCCCUUGGGAUCAGGGCUCCCAAGAGAGGGAUUUACUGAGCAUUUAUUUCCUGCCCUGGGCACACCCAGUCCUCAUUCUGCCAGGAGAGGGGAACAAUGAGGCCUUCUCCUGCCUGCAGAGGUGGCCUCGGGCCGGCUGGCCCUUGUGUGUCAGGAGUUGGGUUAGGGCCACAAGCCCCUGGCCUCCCUGCCCUUCAGGUGUGGGACUUGGGAAGACCCCUCUGUGGCUCUGCAGCCUGAGGCACAGCAGACAAGAGGGUCUCCAUCUGCAACCCAUGCAGCAGCCAGGACCUCCCUGCAGCCCCUGGGCCAGGCUGAGCCUCUGCGGGAAGCCCCCAGCCUCACCGGAGGCAAGAACCUGAGUCCCUGGCUCAGAUCUCCGGGUAGGACUGAUCUGACUAAGACCCUGGGCAAAACCAGGAGCUGACACCUCCUAGGGCCUCAGCGGAUCCCUGGGGCUCAGGAACCAGAGGGAAGGUCCUGCUGGCUGGGGGAGGGGCAGCAUCAGAAGCCCAGGGGUCUUUGCCCCAACCCCAGCAGGGCAACACCGGGCUGUGCCUGUGACUUGUCCUUGAGCGGCUGCUGCUGGAGAAGGAGGCCCUGAGGGAAGGCACUGCAGCCUUGCGCUCCUGAAACCCGAAGCUCCCGCACGCCCGCCUGCGCCCUCACUGAGUUCCUGUUGGUGCCACACUCUGUGCUAAGCGUUUUAUCUGCACUUUCCCCAGAGAAACUCAAUAUUUUUAUUGGAAAACCAGGACACAUAACCACACAUUUUGCCUAAUCUUUCAUAUAAUUCGCCUUCCACUAGUGUUGAAAAUAGAAUGCACUAUUCCCAAGUUUCAAGUCGAUGGAGGCGGGAUUCCCGGGUUCUGGUUUCUGCAGCCUGCCCUGGUGCGUGUGUUGCUCCUUGGCGUCUGGGUCAGCUCAGGCUGCUGUAACACAAAUCCCACGCUGUAGGGGGCUGGUAGACAAUAGACGUUUGUUUCUCACAGUUCUGGAGGCUGGAAGUCCAGGAUCAAAGUGCUGAGCGAUGCAGCUGCUGGUGAGGGUUCCUUUCUGGCGUGCAGACCCCCAUCUUCUCACCGUGUCCUCUUUGGGGAGGGGUGAAGAAGAGAGUCCUGGUCUCCUUUUCUUAUAAGGGCCCUAACCCAUCGCUGGGGGUCCUGUGCUCAUGGCCUCAUCUCAACCUCAUCACCUUCAAAGGUCCUACCUCUGACACAUAUGCUUAGAGCUUAGAGCUUCCACAUAUGAACUUUCGGGGACAAAGACAGCCCAUAGCACCUGGUUAGCAUCCCCCUGAAUCUCUCCUGAGGCAGGCACGUGCUUAGAACCUGGGGCUCGCCCCACUCCCCUGACCUCCCCUCCUGGGGGCCAGAAAGUGCCCCACAGGGGCCCACCCUGUCCACCUCUGUGGCUGUGCUCCAGCUGACUUGCUCGGGCCCUGUCCUGUGAAUGGAGGAAGGAUGUCCGGCUCAGCCUUCGCACCUGCCCCAGUAGAUUCCGUGAUAAGUGACCUGAGCAGCCUGGCCUGGCGCUACACUCCGACCCUGUUGCUGACUGCACCUCACGCAGCCACUCUCAGCCUCGUUUUCUCUGUCAAUAAACAGGCCCCAGCACACCCCAGCGCCUGAGGCUGUUGGGAGGGAGGAGCGAGACAAUGUUUGUGGCCGCCGGCCAUCUGCUGGGGAAACCAGUCCGUGUUAUUGAGAGAUGUUCCCCGUUUUGCCCGGCACUUCUCCUUACUGCCACCAUGUGAAGAAGGACGUGUUUGCUUCCCUUUCUGCCGUGAUAGUAAGUUUCCUGAGGCCUCCCCAGCCAUGCUGAACUGUGAGUCAAUUAAACCUCUUUCCUUUAUAAAAUACCUACCCUCAGUUAUGUCUUUAUUAGCAGCGUGAGAAUGGACUGAUACAUGAGGACCAGCCCGGAUGAGGCCCUCGAUGGUGUCAGACACUAGAACAGCCUCACACUGGUUUGAGUCAGUUGCUCGUCUCCUUCCCAGGCGUGGUUGAGCCCUCCCUGGGAGGCUGCAGAGGGAGUAGCCCUGUGGGUGCGUCACUGGUCCGGGAGGCCAGUUCCUGACUGCGGCCCCCACCGUGAGCCAUGUGGAGGGCCUGGAAUUUUUGAGACUCGAGGAUGGACGGUCCAGACGGACCAAGAUGGCGGAAGCUGAGGAUGGGCCCUGAGGAGCUGUCCUCUAAGGACAAAGCCAACAGACAUUUCCGCUACAUUUACCACCCAAAUUCAGACAUAUUGGAGAGUAAAAGGUGACAGUGACACCCAUGCACUCCCUGCCUCUCCUGUCCUCAGCAUUCUCCUGUGUGGAUGUCACUACAUUUACCCAUGUCCCGGACCCUCCGUCCACCCAUCGCUUCAUCUUCUUUCCUCAGACAUAUCAGGUGCUGACCUCAGUUCACCUCCCCUCAGACACUUCUGCAUGCGUGUCAUUAACCAGACUGUCGUAGGGUUGGGCUUUUCUCAUUUUGAAGCGUAAUUUGCAUACAAUGAAAUCACAAAUUUGGAAGUGUA